rnacentral:ncRNA from 1 species
UAAAAUUUAUUUUAUAUUUAAUUUAUAUAUAUAUAAUAUUAUGUAUGUUAAUUAUAUUUAAAAAAUAUAUUAAAAUUAAUAUUAAUUUAAUUUUUAAUUUUAAAUAUCAAAUAACUUUGAAAUUAGUAAUAUAUAUAUAUAUUAUAAAUAAAUAUUGUGCCAGCAAUUGCGGUUAGACUUUAUUAUAAAAGUAAAUAUAAAUUAAUUAAUAUAUAUAUAUAUAUAUAUAUAAAUAUAUAAUUUAAAUUUUUAGAUGAAAUUAUUUAAAUUUAAUAUAAUAUAACUUAUUUAUAGAUAUAUAAAGGAAUUAAAAUAAACUAGGAUUAGAUACCCUAUUAUAAAUUUAAUAAAUAUAUUAAUUAUAUUAGUAAUUUAAUAAAAUGAAAUUUAAAGAAUAUGGCGGUAAUUUAAUCAAUUUAGAGGAAUUUGUAUUAUAAAUGAUAAUCCACGAUUUAAUUUACUUAUAAUUAUUUGUAUAUCGUUGUUAAAAAUUUAUUUUUAUUAAGUUGUAUAAUUAAUUUUAAUAAUUAAAUAAAUAUAUCAAAUCAAGAUACAGUUAUAUUUAUAAGAUAUCUAAUAUGAAUUACAAUUAAUAUAUUUAAAUAUUAAUUAAUAAAUUUAAAAUUAUUAAAUUAAAAGGAUUUAAAAGUAAUUUUAUAAAAUUAUUUAAAAUAAAUAAAGUUUUAAAUUAUGUACAUAUUGCCCGUCGCUCUAAAUAAUUAAUAGUUAGUGAUUAUAUUAUUAAAUUUUAGAUAAGUCGUAACAUAGUAGAAUUAUUGGAAAAUGAUUCUAGAUGAAUAUAUAUAUAUAUAUA